rnacentral:rRNA from 1 species
GGCAGGGACGGCAGCUACCAUGCAGUCGAGCGGCAGCGGGAAGUAUCUUGCUCCUUUUGCCAGCGAGCGACGGAUGGGUGAGUAAUGCCUGGGGAUCUGCCCAAUCGAGGGGGAUAACUACUGGAAACGGUAGCUAAUACCGCAGACGCCCUACCGGGGAAAGGGAGGGACCUUCCGGCCUUGCGCGAUUGGAUGAACCCAGGAGGGAUUAGCUAGUUGGUGAGGUAAUGGCUCACCAAAGCAACCAUCCCUAGCUGGUCAGAAAGGAUGAUCACCCACACUGGAACUGAGACACCGUCCACACUCCUACGGGAGGCAGGGGUGGGGAAUAUUGCACAAUGGGGGAAACCCUGAUGCAUCCAUGCCGCGUGUGUGAAGAAGGCCUUCUGGUUGUAAAGCACUUUCAGCAAGGAGGAAAGGUUGGUAGCUAAUAACUGCCAUCUGUGACGUUACUCACAAAAGAAGCACCGGCUAACUCCGUGCCAGCACCCGCGGUAAUACGGAGGGUGCAAGCGUUAAUCUUAAAUUACUGGGCGUAAAGCGCACGCAGGCGGUUGGAUAAGUUAGAUGUGAAACCCCCGGGCUCAACCUGGGAAUUGCAUUUAAAACUGGCCAGCUUCAGUCUUGUAGAGGGGGGUAUAAUUCCGUGUGUAGCAGUGAAAUGCAUAUAGAUCUGAAUAGAAUACCGGUGGCGAAGGCGGCCCCCUGGACAAAGACUGACGCUCACGUGCGAAAGCGUGGGGAACAAGCAGAGAUACAUACCCUGGUACUCCACGCCAUAAACUAUAUCUAUUUGGAGUGCUGUGUCCUUGAUGCCUGCCUUCCGGAGCUAACGCGUUAAAUCGACCGCCUGGUGAGUACGGCCGCAAAGAUAAAACUCAAAUGAAUUGACGCGGCGCCCACACAAGGGGUGGAGUGUGUGAUUUUUAUUCGAUGCAACGCAAAGAACCUUACCUGUGUCUUGACAUGUAUAGGAUCCAGAUGAGAUGGGGGGAGUGCCGUAGGAAAUCACAGGAGCUGUGCUGCAUGUCCUGCCCUCGCGUCGUGUCGUGAGAUGAUGGAGUCACGUCACGCAACGCAGCGCCAUCCCCUGUCCUUUC